rnacentral:rRNA from 1 species
UACGUAGGGUGCAAGCGUUAAUCGGAAUUACUGGGCGUAAAGGGCUCGUAGGCGGCCAACUAAGUCAGACGUGAAAUCCCUCGGCUUAACCGGGGAACUGCGUCUGAUACUGGAUGGCUAGAGGUUGGGAGAGGGAUGCGGAAUUCCAGGUGUAGCGGUGAAAUGCGUAGAUAUCUGGAGGAACACCGGUGGCGAAGGCGGCAUCCUGGGCCAAUUCUGACGCUGAGGAGCGAAAGCCAGGGGAGCAAACGGG